rnacentral:rRNA from 1 species
GACGUAGGGUGCAAGCGUUGUCCGGAAUUAUUGGGCGUAAAGAGUUCGUAGGCGGUUUGCCAAGUCUGAUGUUAAAUACCGGAGCUCAACUCCGGCACGGCAUCGGAAACUGGCAGGCUAGAGUUUGGUAGAGGCAAGGGGAAUUCCCGGUGUAGCGGUGAAAUGCGUAGAGAUCGGGAGGAACACCAGUGGCGAAGGCGGCUACCUGGACCAGCACUGACACUGAGGCACGAAAGCGUGGGGAGCAAACAGGG